rnacentral:rRNA from 1 species
AUUGAACGCUGGCGGUAGGCCUAACACAUGCAAGUCGAGCGAGCGGCGGACGGGUGAGUAAUGUCUGGGAAACUGCCUGAUGGAGGGGGAUAACUACUGGAACCGGUAGCUAAUACCGCAUACCAUGAGAUGUGCCCAGAUGGGAUUAGCUAGUAGGUGGGGUAGUGGCUCACCUAGGCGACGAUCCCUAGCUGGUCUGAGAGGAUGACCAGCCGAACUGGAACUUAGAGACGGACCAGACGCCUACGGGAGGCAGCGGUGGGGAAGAUGGCAAAAUGGGCGAAAGCCUGAUGCACCCAUGCCGCGAGGGCGAAUGAGGCCUGCGGGUUGUAGAGCACUUUCAGCGAGGAGGCGUUCUCGCAGAAAAGCACCGGCUAACUCCGUGCCAGCAGCCGCGGUAAUAC